rnacentral:rRNA from 1 species
CUUACCAUGCAGUCGACGAUGAUGCCCAGCUUGCUGGGUGGAUUAGUGGCGAACGGGUGAGUAACACGUGAGUAACCUGCCCUUGACUUCGGGAUAACUCCGGGAAACCGGGGCUAAUACCGGAUAUGAGCCGCCUUCGCAUGGGGGUGGUUGGAAAGUUUUUCGGUCAGGGAUGGGCUCGCGGCCUAUCAGCUUGUUGGUGGGGUGAUGGCCUACCAAGGCGACGACGGGUAGCCGGCCUGAGAGGGCGACCGGCCACACUGGGACUGAGACACGGCCCAGACUCCUACGGGAGGCAGCAGUGGGGAAUAUUGCACAAUGGGCGAAAGCCUGAUGCAGCGACGCCGCGUGAGGGAUGAAGGCCUUCGGGUUGUAAACCUCUUUCAGCAGGGAAGAAGCGCAAGUGACGGUACCUGCAGAAGAAGCGCCGGCUAACUACGUGCCAGCAGCCGCGGUAAUACGUAGGGCGCAAGCGUGUCCCGGAAUUAUUGGGCGUAAAGAGCUCGUAGGCGGUUUGUCGCGUCUGGUGUGAAAACUCGAGGCUCAACCUCGAGCUUGCAUCGGGUACGGGCAGACUAGAGUGCGGUAGGGGAGACUGGAAUUCCUGGUGUAGCGGUGGAAUGCGCAGAUAUCAGGAGGAACACCGAUGGCGAAGGCAGGUCUCUGGGCCGCAACUGACGCUGAGGAGCGAAAGCAUGGGGAGCGAACAGGAUUAGAUACCCUGGUAGUCCAUGCCGUAAACGUUGGGCACUAGGUGUGGGGCUCAUUCCACGAGUUCCGUGCCGCAGCAAACGCAUUAAGUGCCCCGCCUGGGGAGUACGGCCGCAAGGCUAAAACUCAAAGGAAUUGACGGGGGCCCGCACAAGCGGCGGAGCAUGCGGAUUAAUUCGAUGCAACGCGAAGAACCUUA